rnacentral:rRNA from 1 species
GUAGUACGGAAUAGCCAUUAGAAAUGGUGGGUAAUACUGUAUAAUCCCCGAGGGGGAAAGAUUUAUCGCUAUUAGAUGAGCCUACGUUAGAUUAGCUAGUUGGUGAGGUAAUGGCUUACCAAGGCUAUGAUCUAUAGCUGGUCUGAGAGGACGAUCAGCCACACUGGAACUGAGAUACGGUCCAGACUCCUACGGGAGGCAGCAGUGGGGAAUAUUGGACAAUGGGCGAAAGCCUGAUCCAGCUAUGCCGCGUGAGUGAAGAAGGCCUUCGGGUUGUAAAACUCUUUCAAUAGGGAAGAUAAUGACGGUACCUAUAAAAGAAGUCCCGGCAAACUCUGUGCCAGCAGCCGCGGUAAUACGACAAGUAGAACGAACGCUGGCGGCAAG